rnacentral:rRNA from 1 species
CUACGUGCCAGCAGCCGCGGUAAUACGUAGGGCGCGAGCGUUGUCCGGAAUUAUUGGGCGUAAAGAGCUUGUAGGCGGUUUGUCGCGUCUGCUGUGAAAGGCCGGGGCUUAACCCCGUGUAUUGCAGUGGGUACGGGCAGACUAGAGUGCAGUAGGGGAGACUGGAAUUCCUGGUGUAGCGGUGGAAUGCGCAGAUAUCAGGAGGAACACCGAUGGCGAAGGCAGGUCUCUGGGCUGUAACUGACGCUGAGAAGCGAAAGCAUGGGGAGCGAACAGGAUUAGAUACCCUGGUAGUCCGCACAGUAAACGCUGGAUGCCCGCUGUUGGCUCAUUAGAGUCAGCGGCCAAGCGAAAGCAUUAAGCAUCCCACCUGGGGAGUACGCCGGCAACGGUGAAACUCAAAGGAAUUGACGGGGGCCCGCACAAGCGGCGGAGCAUGCGGAUUAAUUCGAUGCAACGCGAAGAACCUUACCAAGGCUUGACAUGC